AAAAGGUAGCUUGAAGAAGUAAGAGUGCAGCAUGAAUUAUUUAGAGGCCUUGGCCCUUCGAGAAGAAAUGCUUCUUUGGCGGGGAGAAGGAAUCGACGUUGACGGUUAACUAGGUUUGGAAGGGAAGAGAAAAAUAAUGGAGUCUAGAUUUGUUCAGUUGAUUUGGUGCUUGUGCUGGCCUCCUUUUUCUCCAAAAGUUUUACUCAUCAAUUUUUAGAAAUAAAAAUAACAAUUUCUAUAGCUUGCAAUGGUUCCAAAGGGAAGGCACCAUAUUUCUGUGUGAUAAUGCAUGGAUUUGGGCUGGAUGAGAGAGGUUGAAGAUGAGAAAAUCUUUGGGUAAUGUUGUAGAUCCAAUUACCGUGAUUGGAGGAGGCAAAAACCCAGGGGAAGCACCUUCCUAUGGAGCUGAUGUCCUGAGACUCUGGGUUUCAAGUGUAGAUUAUACUAGCGAUGUGCUGAUUGGGCCUCAAGUCCUCCGCCAAAUGUCUGACAUAUAUAGGAAGAUGUGAGGAACAUUAUGAUUUCUUUUAGCAAAUCUUCAUGAUUGGGAGGGUGAUAAUGUUGUUCCAUAUAGUGAUCUUCCCAUGAUUGAUCAGCAUGCGCUGUUUCAGCUUGAAAAUGUUGUACAGAACAUCAAAGACAGCUUCAAAAAUUAUCAAUUCUUCAAAAUUUUCCAGAUUUCUAUUUUGAUGCUGCCAAAGAUCG